rnacentral:rRNA from 1 species
UACGUAGGGGGCAAGCGUUGUCCGGAAUCAUUGGGCGUAAAGCGCGCGUAGGCGGCCCGGUAAGUCCGCUGUGAAAGUCAAAGGCUCAACCUUUGAAUGUCAGCGGAUACUGCCGGGCUAGAGUCCGGAAGAGGCGAGUGGAAUCCUGGUGUAGCGGUGGAAUGCGCAGAUAUCAGGAAGGAACACCAACGGCGAAGGCAGCUCGCUGGGACGGAACUGACGCUGAGGCGCGAAAGCGUGGGGAGCGAACAGGAUUAGAACCUACCGUCGAGUCCAAGCCAUC